AUUGAACGCUGGCGGCAGGCCUAACACAUGCAAGUCGAGCGAGCGGCGGACGGGUGAGUAAUGUCAGGGAAACUGCCUGAUGGAGGUGGAUAACGACUGGAAACGGUAGCUAAUAACGCAUCCAAACAGAUGUGCCCAGAUGGGAUUAGCUAGUAGGUGGGGUAACGGCUCACCUAGGCGACGAUCCCUAGCUGGUCUGAGAGGAUGACCAGGCACACUGGAACUGAGACACGGUCCAGACUCCUACGGGAGGCAGCAGUGGGGAAUAUUGCACAAUGGGCGCAAGCCUGAUGCAGCCAUGCCGCGUGUGUGAAGAAGGCCUUCGGAUUGUAAAGCACUUUCAGCGGGGAGGCGUUACCCGCAGAAGAAGCACCGGCUAACUCCGUGCCAGCAGCCGCGGUAAUAC
rnacentral:rRNA from 1 species